CUGAGGCAGGAGAAUGGUGUGAACCCAGGAGGCAGAGCUUGCAGUGAACCGAGAUAGUGCCACUGCACUCCAGCCUGGACGACGGAGUGAGACUCCGUCUCAAAAAAAAAAAAAAAAAAAAAGGAAGGAAGAAGAAACAGCACAUCGCAGUUCUGACCAGCCACAUUCCGGACACCCAGUAGCCAUACAUGGCCAAUAGCUGUCACAUUAAAGUGCAGCUUUGACAACAGGGGUUUGAAGGGCCUGAACAUUCCUUUUCUGCCAGAGGUGAGGGAAGAGCCUCUCCCUACCAACAUCUCUCUUCAGUUCUGAGGUGGAACAGACCGUGGCCAUAAAAAGAGCAGAGGACAGCAGGAAUAAAAUAACCUAAGGUUGUUAAGAAUUAAUGUAAUUAAUAUGUAUAUAAUUAAAACUACUAGAUGUAUGAAAAACAAUUCUGCAUAGAGAAUGUAUAAACAAAAGUAAAAUAUGCUUUUAAGGAAGAAAGUUAGAAACAUUUUAUCUAGUUUGAAAUUACUUAAUGAUUGUUUCAAAUUGAAAAAAGAAAAAACCAAAAAUAUAAUAUAAAAAGUUGAAAAAUUUAUUAUAAUAGACUAUAAAAUAUUUAUGAAAAUCUACAGUAGCCAAAAAUGACACAUU
rnacentral:lncRNA from 10 species